GUAACAGCUAUAAUAAAUAGGUAAUAUAUAUGUAACAGCUAUAAUAAAUAGGUAAUAUAUCUGUAACAGCUAUAAUAAAUAGGUAAUAUAUCUGUAACAGCUAUAAUAAAUAGGUAAUAUAUCUGUAGGAGCUAUAAUAAAUAGGUAAUAUAUCUGUAGGAGCUAUAAUAAAUAGGUAAUAUAUCUGUAACAGCUAUAAUAAAUAGGUAAUAUAUCUGUAACAGCUAUAAUAAAUAGGUAAUAUAUCUGUAACAGCUAUAAUAAAUAGGUAAUAUAUCUGUAACAGCUAUAAUAAAUAGGUAAUAUAUCUGUAACAGCUAUAAUAAAUAGGUAAUAUAUCUGUAACAGCUAUAAUAAAUAGGUAAUAUAUCUGUA